rnacentral:rRNA from 1 species
UACGUAGGGUGCAAGCGUUGUCCGGAAUUAUUGGGCGUAAAGAGCUCGUAGGCGGUCUGUCGCGUCGGCUGUGAAAACCCGGGGCUCAACCCCGGGCCUGCUUCUGAUACGGGCAGACUAGAGGUAUGCAGGGGAGAACGGAAUUCCUGGUGUAGCGGUGAAAUGCGUAGAUAUCAGGAGGAACACCGGUGGUGUAGACGGCUCUCUGGACCGUAACUGACGCUGAGACACGAAAGCGUGGGUAGCAAACAGG